rnacentral:rRNA from 1 species
AGCGGCGGACGGGUGAGUAACACGUGGGUAACCUGCCCAAGAGACUGGGAUAACACCUGGAAACAGAUGCUAAUACCGGAUAACAACACUAGACGCAUGUCUAGAGUUUGAAAGAUGGUUCUGCUAUCACUCUUGGAUGGACCUGCGGUGCAUUAGCUAGUUGGUAAGGUAACGGCUUACCAAGGCAAUGAUGCAUAGCCGAGUUGAGAGACUGAUCGGCCACAUUGGGACUGAGACACGGCCCAAGCUCCUACGGGAGGCAGCAGUAGGGAAUCUUCCACAAUGGACGAAAGUCUGAUGGAGCAACGCCGCGUGGGUGAAGAAGGGUUUCGGCUCGUAAAGCUCUGUUGGUAGUGAAGAAAGAUAGAGGUAGUAACUGGCCUUUAUUUGACGGUAAUUACUUAGAAAGUCACGGCUAACUACGUGCCAGCAGCCGCGGUAAUACGUAGGUGGCAAGCGUUGUCCGGAUUUAUUGGGCGUAAAGCGAGUGCAGGCGGUUCAAUAAGUCUGAUGUGAAAGCCUUCGGCUCAACCGGAGAAUUGCAUCAGAAACUGUUGAACUUGAGUGCAGAAGAGGAGAGUGGAACUCCAUGUGUAGCGGUGGAAUGCGUAGAUAUAUGGAAGAACACCAGUGGCGAAGGCGGCUCUCUGGUCUGCAACUGACGCUGAGGCUCGAAAGCAUGGGUAGCGAACCGGAUUAGAUACCCUGGUAGUCCAUGCCGUAAACGAUGAGUGCUAAGUGU